rnacentral:rRNA from 1 species
AUUGAACGCUAACGGCGUGCUUAACACAUGCAAGUCGAGCGGCAGCAUGACUGUAGCAAUACAGUUGAUGGCGAGCGGCGGACGGGUGAGUAAUGCAUAGGAAUCCGCCUUGUAGUGGGGGAUAACCCGGGGAAACUCGGGCUAAUACCGCAUAAUCUCUACGGACCAAAGUGGGGGACCUUCGGGCCCUACGCGAAAAGAUGAGCCUAUGUUGGAAUAGCUAGUUGGUAGGGUAAAGGCCUACCAAGGCAACAAUCCAUAGCUGGUCUGAGAGGAUGAUCAGCCACACUGGGACUGAGACACGGCCCAGACUCCGACGGGAGGCAGCAGUGGGGAAUAUUGGACAAUGGGCGAAAGCCUGAUCCAGCAACGCCGUGUGUGUGAAGAAGGCCUUCGGGUUGUAAAGCACUUUUAGUGGGGAAGAAAAGUUCAUGGCUAAUAUCCAUGAAUGCUGACGUUACCCACAGAAAAAGCACUGGCUAACUCUGUGCCAGCCGCCGCGGUAA